GUGGGGAAUAUUGGGCAAUGGGCGAAAGCCUGACCCAGCAACGCCGCGUGAAGGAAGAAGGCCUUCGGGUUGUAAACUUCUUUUAUGAGGGACGAAGGAAGUGACUGUACCUCAUGAAUAAGCCACGGCUAACUACGUGCCAGCAGCCGCGGUAAUACGUAGGUGGCAAGCGUUGUCCGGAUUUACUGGGUGUAAAGGGCGCGUAGGCGGACUGGCAAGUCAGAUGUGAAAUCCAUGAGCUCAACUCAUGAACUGCAUUUGAAACUGUUGGUCUUGAGUAUCGGAGAGGCAAGCGGAAUUCAUAGUGUAGCGGUGAAAUGCGUAGAUAUUAGGAGGAACACCAGUGGCGAAGGCGGCUUGCUGGACGACAACUGACGCUGAGGCGCGAAAGCGUGGGGAGCAAACAGGAUUAGAAACCCUUGUAGUCC
rnacentral:rRNA from 1 species